rnacentral:rRNA from 1 species
AGAACGAGCGCUGGCGGCAGGCUUAACACAUGCAAGUCGAACGCUCGUAGCAAUACGGGAGUGGCAGACGGGUGAGUAACGCGUGGGAACAUACCCUCCGGUUCGGAACAACCCAGGGAAACUUGGGCUAAUACCGGAUAAGCCCUUACGGGGAAAGAUUUAUCGCCAAAAGAUUGGCCCGCGUCUGAUUAGCUAGUUGGUGAGGUAACGGCUCACCAAGGCGACGAUCAGUAGCUGGUCUGAGAGGAUGAUCAGCCACAUUGGGACUGAGACACGGCCCAAACUCCUACGGGAGGCAGCAGUGGGGAAUAUUGGACAAUGGGCGCAAGCCUGAUCCAGCCAUGCCGCGUGAGUGAUGAAGGCCCUAGGGUUGUAAAGCUCUUUUGUGCGGGAAGAUAAUGACGGUACGCAAGAAUAAGCCCGGCUAACUUCGUGCCAGCAGCCAC